rnacentral:rRNA from 1 species
GGGGGGGAUGGUAAAAUUUCUUCUUAAGGCUAAAUAACGGCCGAGAGACCGAUAGCGAACAAGUACCCGUGAGGGGAUGAAAAGAACUUUGAAAAGAGAGUUAAACAGUACGUGAAAUUGUUGAAAGGGAAACGAUUGAAGCCAGUCGUACCUUCGGGUAAUCAGCCUUUCGGGUGUGAUUUUGUGGAGUGUGAGGAGCUUAACGCCUUCAUGCUUGGCGAAUUGGGGCCUUUGGGUGUACUUGCCCGUGUGGUUGGUUAACAUCAAUUUUGGUGGUCAUAAAAUGACUGGAGGAAUGUAACUUCGAACAAAA